GCCGGCGUAGCUCAGUGGUAGAGCAGCUGAUUCGUAAUCAGCAGGCCGUCGGUUCAACCCCGACCGCCGGCUCCA
rnacentral:tRNA from 1 species